rnacentral:rRNA from 1 species
GCUGGCGGCGUGCCUAAUACAUGCAAGUCGUACGCUUCUUUUUCCACCGGAGCUUGCUCCACCGGAAAAAGAAGAGUGGCGAACGGGUGAGUAACACGUGGGUAACCUGCCCAUCAGAAGGGGAUAACACUUGGAAACAGGUGCUAAUACCGUAUAACAAUCGAAACCGCAUGGUUUUGAUUUGAAAGGCGCUUUCGGGUGUCGCUGAUGGAUGGACCCGCGGUGCAUUAGCUAGUUGGUGAGGUAACGGCUCACCAAGGCCACGAUGCAUAGCCGACCUGAGAGGGUGAUCGGCCACAUUGGGACUGAGACACGGCCCAAACUCCUACGGGAGGCAGCAGUAGGGAAUCUUCGGCAAUGGACGAAAGUCUGACCGAGCAACGCCGCGUGAGUGAAGAAGGUUUUCGGAUCGUAAAACUCUGUUGUUAGAGAAGAAUAAGGAUGAGAGUAACUGUUCAUCCCUUGACGGUAUCUAACCAGAAAGCCACGGCUAACUACGUGCCAGCAGCCGCGGUAAUACGUAGGUGGCAAGCGUUGUCCGGAUUUAUUGGGCGUAAAGCGAGCGCAGGCGGUUUCUUAAGUCUGAUGUGAAAGCCCCCGGCUCAACCGGGGAGGGUCAUUGGAAACUGGGAGACUUGAGUGCAGAAGAGGAGAGUGGAAUUCCAUGUGUAGCGGUGAAAUGCGUAGAUAUAUGGAGGAACACCAGUGGCGAAGGCGGCUCUCUGGUCUGUAACUGACGCUGAGGCUCGAAAGCGUGGGGAGCAAACAGGAUUAGAUACCCUGGUAGUCCACGCCGUAAACGAUGAGUGCUAAGUGUUGGAGGGUUUCCGCCCUUCAGUGCUGCAGCUAACGCAUUAAGCACUCCGCCUGGGGAGUACGACCGCAAGGUUGAAACUCAAAGGAAUUGACGGGGGCCCGCACAAGCGGUGGAGCAUGUGGUUUAAUUCGAAGCAACGCGAAGAACCUUACCAGGUCUUGACAUCCUUUGACCACUCUAGAGAUAGAGCUUCCCCUUCGGGGGCAAAGUGACAGGUGGUGCAUGGUUGUCGUCAGCUCGUGUCGUGAGAUGUUGGGUUAAGUCCCGCAACGAGCGCAACCCUUAUUGUUAGUUGCCAUCAUUUAGUUGGGCACUCUAGCAAGACUGCCGGUGACAAACCGGAGGAAGGUGGGGAUGACGUCAAAUCAUCAUGCCCCUUAUGACCUGGGCUACACACGUGCUACAAUGGGAAGUACAACGAGUCGCGAAGUCGCGAGGCUAAGCUAAUCUCUUAAAGCUUCUCUCAGUUCGGAUUGUAGGCUGCAACUCGCCUACAUGAAGCCGGAAUCGCUAGUAAUCGCGGAUCAGCACGCCGCGGUGAAUACGUUCCCGGGCCUUGUACACACCGCCCGUCACACCACGAGAGUUUGUAACACCCGAAGUCGGUGAGGUAACCUUUUGGAGCCAGCCGCCUAAGGUGGGAUAGAUGA